GCGUCGAUGUGUUUGUUUGAUCGUGUGUUAUUAGGUUUGCUGUAAUGAAAUGAGACGUAGUUCGCGAGCACGAAAGUGCCAGAAGAUGGCUUGAGUCUCGCUGUAAGCACGCCGUAUGCGUGGCGCGCCAGCUAAAUGUGGACUAGAGUGUACCUAAUGUGGACCAACGAUUUUCAUGCCAUGGAGUGCGUUCCCUUUGUCUCCGCUUGUGUUCGUGGAAAGUUUGGUGGACGGCGCAAAGAAGUAAUGCGUAUUAUUAGCGCGCCUCAGCUCGUCCACUACCCAGCGGCUUGUAUGCUGCAAGUAACAUCGCAGACGCAUCACUGGAAACUUGGAGAGUGCCUUUCGACCUCGUCGUACUGUUGAAACGUGGCGAGGCCGUGACCCACAACAUAAACUACAAGAUCGAGGAGCCCCAAGAAAUGCAGACCCUGUGGAUAUAUGGCUGCAGCAGCAUGGCGUGUGAUCUGGAUGGUCAUGACAGGUGUGUAUGAAAUGCUCCACCGUCGCCGUUACUAG